AAGUGACUAAGCGUACACGGUGGAUGCCUUGGCAGUCAGAGGCGAUGAAGGACGUAUUAACUUGCGAUAAGCCCAGAUUAGGCAGUAAAAGCCACUUGAGUCUGGGAUUUCCGAAUGGGGAAACCCAACUGCAUAAGCAGUUACUGUUAACUGAAUACAUAGGUUAACAGGGCGAACCGGGGGAACUGAAACAUCUAAGUACCCCGAGGAAAAGAAAUCAACCGAGAUUCCGAAAGUAGCGGCGAGCGAAAUUGGACUAGCCCUUAAGCUUUACACGCGUUAGACGAACGGUCUGGAAAGUCCGACGAUACAGGGUGAUAGUCCCGUAGUUGACGACGUGUGUUCAGUGAAAUCGAGUAGGGCGGGACACGUGAUAUCCUGUCUGAAUAUGGGGGGACCAUCCUCCAAGGCUAAAUACUACUG
rnacentral:rRNA from 1 species